ensembl:lncRNA
AAACGACGUGCGUGACGUAGCGUGGAGGCUUCGUAACAGUUUCCUCAACCAAACACUCAACUGAUAUUGUGUGAUAAAAACUGGAAGUCCGCCGGUGAAAGAAGGAGCUGUUUGUUGAGAAAUACACUCACCAACCCGGCGACCCUCGUCUUCUGAAACAACCGGAGACUGUACUGCACUGAAAGUUGGUUCAGUGGCGAAGAAGGCGGCUACAUUCUGCCUGUAAACCCUCCGAAAAGGGCUGGUUUUUAUUUUGCUUUGACUGUCGAAAGGCGGGGGAUACGAAGCGACCUACGGUGAAAAUCCGUAACAUUUUCGACUAACUGAAGAAAACAGAAAACAAAAAACGGAAUUACUACAGAGCCAGUUCGUGCUGCGGUGACUGGUCAGCGAUAGUACAUGGAUUAUCUGCUGGGCUCCCAAUGAAGCUGUUGGUGUCACGCAGAUGUGUGACCUUUUAACAACCAGUCCAACCCACUGCCAUUAUCUUUCCCUGACAAGUUACUAUUUGACAUGCAUAGCCACAACUGCAACCUG